UACGUAGGGUGCGAGCGUUGUCCGGAAUUAUUGGGCGUAAAGGGCUCGUAGGCGGUUUGUCGCGUCGGGAGUGAAAACCCAGGGCUUAACUCUGGGCUUGCUUUCGAUACGGGCAGACUAGAGUUCGGCAGGGGAGACUGGAAUUCCUGGUGUAGCGGUGAAAUGCGCAGAUAUCAGGAGGAACACCGGUGGCGAAGGCGGGUCUCUGGGCCGAUACUGACGCUGAGGAGCGAAAGCGUGGGGAGCGAACAGG
rnacentral:rRNA from 1 species